GUGCCAGCAGCCGCGGUAAUACGGAGGAUGCGAGCGUUAUCCGGAUUUAUUAGGUUUAAAGGGUGCGUAGGCUGGGCAAUAAGUCAGUGGUGAAAGUCCGCGGCUCAACCGUGGGAUUGCCAUUGAAACUGUUGUUCUUGAGUACAGUCGAGGUAGGCGGAAUGUGUAAUGUAGCGGUGAAAUGCAUAGAUAUUACCCAGAACACCGAUUGCGUAGGCAGCUUACCAGCCUGGAACUGACGCUGAUGCACGAAAGCGCGGGGAGCGAACAGGAUUAGAUACCCUGGUAGUCCACGCCGUAAACGAUGAUCACUCGCUGUUGGCAAUAUAGAGUCAGCGGCUGAGCGAAAGCAUUAAGUGAUCCACCUGGGGAGUACGUCGGCAACGAUGAAACUCAAAGGAAUUGACGGGGGCCCGCACAAGCGGUGGAACAUGUGGUUUAAUUCGAUGAUACGCGAGGAACCUUACCUGGGCUUAAAUGUAGCCGGACGAUUCCGGAAACGGGAUUUCCUUAACGGCUGGUUACAAGGUGCUGCAUGGCUGUCGUCAGCUCGUGCCGUGAGGUGUCGGGUUAAGUCCCAUAACGAGCGCAACCCUUAUUCUUAGUUGCCAGCGGGUAGAGCCGGGGACUCUAAGGAGACUGCCACCGUAAGGUGUGAGGAAGGUGGGGAUGACGUCAAGUCAGCACGGCCCUUACGUCCAGGGCUACACACGUGUUACAAUGGCCGGUACAGAAGGCAGCAAACUUGAGAGAGGGCGCGAAUCCAUGAAAGCCGGUCUCAGUUCGGAUUGGAGUCUGCAGCCCGACUUCAUGAAGUUG
rnacentral:rRNA from 1 species